UGCCAGCCGCCGCGGUAAUACGAAGGGUGCUAGCGUUGUUCGGGAUUACUGGGUUUAAAGGGUACGUAGGCGGCUAUUUAAGUCAGUGGUGAAAUGUGUCGGCUCAACCGGCAACGUGCCAUUGAAACUGAAUAGCUGGAGUGUUGUAUAGGUGGGCGGAAUUGAUGGUGUAGCGGUGAAAUGCAUAGAUACCAUCAAGAACACCAAUUGCGAAGGCAGCUCACUGGGCAACAACUGACGCUGAGGUACGAAAGCGUGGGGAGCGAACAGGAUUAGAUA
rnacentral:rRNA from 1 species